rnacentral:tRNA from 1 species
GCGCGUGUGGCGGAAUUGGCAGACGCACCAGACUUAGGAUCUGGCGGAGCAAUCCUUGGGAGUUCAAAUCUCUCCACGCGCACCA